UAGGGUUCUUAUAGUUGAGUAA
rnacentral:tRNA from 1 species